CAAUUUUGGGACACUAUUCAUAAUAUAUACUUAUAUACUUUAUUCUUUCAAGCAUUCAUGUUCCUUUUGGCAAUUUUAACAUAGACAAAUUAUCAAAUCAAUGUGUGUGUGUGUGUGUGUGUGUGUGUGUGAGAGAGAGAGAGAGAGAGAGAGAGAGAGAGAUGGACAUUCCCUUUGUGAUUAAUGUAUACCUGUAAAUAUUUAGAACCAGAUUCUCUUAAUAAUGAUUUGUUGUGGAUGUCAGAUGAUUAAGUACCAACAAUGGUUAGGUGUUGUGUCUAACUAAAUUUUGGAUUUACAAUGCCAAAUUUUCCACAUUAAUUAUUUCAGAAUUUUUUUAUAGUCUACAAAUUUUAUGAAAAUAUGAAUCAGUGCAUGCGAAAUCUUUUGAUUGGUGUUGGUUUGAAUCUCUUUAAAAAUUCUUUCUUUUCUUUGAUUGCCCAUCUAAUUCAUAUAAAUGUACAUGUGGAUAUUUACAUUAUUGUAAGAAAAAGAAUAAUGUACCAGUAACUUUAAUUCAUUGGUAAUUGAAACUCUAUGAAGGUCAAAAUAAGUACCGGUACCAGUGUUCACAUAAAGAUGUUUCAUUUUGCCAAAUCCACAUCAAUUAUUGUUCAGUUUAAUGAAGUCCAAGUCUUUCAUGUUUUUUUUUUGUUUUUGAGUUUUAUAUCUUCACGAUUUGCUUCUGUUCAAAUCUUUGUUCCUUAAAAUUUUGAUUACAGAUUUUGUGGAGUCACUCAAUGUUUAAUGUUGUGAGAUUUUUCAGGGAUGUACAUGCAAAGUGUGUAUGGUUGUUAUGUUCAUGCUUUACUCUAUUGUAAGUGUAAUAUGGAGUAAAUAAAGUGACCCAAAUUUC
rnacentral:sRNA from 1 species